rnacentral:rRNA from 1 species
UACGUAGGGGGCGAGCGUUGUCCGGAAUUAUUGGGCGUAAAGAGCUCGUAGGCGGUCUGUCGCGUCGGUCGUGAAAACCUGCAGCUUAACUGUGGGCGUGCGGUCGAUACGGGCAUGACUGGAGUUCGGCAGGGGAGACUGGAAUUCCUGGUGUAGCGGUGAAAUGCGCAGAUAUCAGGAGGAACACCGGUGGCGAAGGCGGGUCUCUGGGCAGCUCCUGACGCUGAGGCGCGAAAGCGUGGGGAGCAAACGGG